UCAUCCUAGCUACGAUCUUCGCCACCCGAGCCUUGUGAAUUUAGAGAGUUUCCAGAUCCAUGCCAUCCUUCUUCAUGAAUAAGAUCCGAUCGUCGUAGAUCUCUCUCUUGAGCUUGUUCUUCUUGGCGUACUCGUCGCCGCCUUCACCGCCUUGUUGCCAAUUGGCCGGAAAUACGUAAUCUCCUCGCCCGACGCCUUGUUGAAAGAAUGGGGGAAUAUAUUAGAGAGUGAAAUAUGGCAAUUGGAGAAGGCGAAAAAAUACAUUUUCCCUCAUUUGAUUUUAAGCUACAAUGAAUUGUCGCCAGCACUUAAGCA
rnacentral:lncRNA from 1 species